rnacentral:rRNA from 1 species
CCUACGGGGGGCUGCAGUGGGGAAUAUUGGACAAUGGGCGAAAGCCUGAUCCAGCCAUGCCGCGUGUGUGAAGAAGGCCUUCGGGUUGUAAAGCACUUUCAGUGGGGAAGAAAGCCUUGGGGCUAAUACCCUCGAGGAAGGACAUCACCCACAGAAGAAGCACCGGCUAACUCCGUGCCAGCAGCCGCGGUAAUACGGAGGGUACGAGCGUUAAUCGGAAUUACUGGGCGUAAAGCGCGCGUAGGCGGUCUGAUAAGCCGGUUGUGAAAGCCCCGGGCUCAACCUGGGAACGGCAUCCGGAACUGUCAGGCUAGAGUGCAGGAGAGGAAGGUAGAAUUCCCGGUGUAGCGGUGAAAUGCGUAGAGAUCGGGAGGAAUACCAGUGGCGAAGGCGGCCUUCUGGACUGACACUGACGCUGAGGUGCGAAAGCGUGGGUAGCAAACAGGAUUAGAUACCCCAGUAGUC